ensembl:lncRNA
CCGGCAUUUGGUCUUGUUGAAACCCAUCCCAACAGCACUGAUAAAGGAUGAAAGGUUUCUCAGUCGUGACAGGACUGACAGUGCACCCCAAAGCACCUCCUGUUUGUCCUUUGGCGCCGUCUGUCCUUUGUCUUACACUGCAGACUCCCACGGCUUCACAGUGAUGAGGGCUAUCAAGGAGUCUGUUAAGCUCUUUGGCGACUCCUCCACAGUUACAUCUUCCAUCUCCCCCUUCUUUCUUAAUAAAAAAGGUACGAUUCGUUGCAUCCUGUAUCCUUUUUUUUUGUGUACACUGCAACAAGCAUGGAAGAGUAAUUAAAGCACAGAGAAAUGCAACGAGACAAAAUGACCCUAUUCGAUGCAAAUCCUGUAUCUGUCCUGAAAAACCCCCAAAGAGACCCCAAAUACAUUUACAAGUUUCCUUUUUGAGUUUUCCAUCCUCCCUUACUACUUUCCCCUAUUACCACACUAUAAAGUUAGAGCAGCAAUUAUAUUAACAACACCAUCACUCAGUCAAGGCUUUGAUGGAUAACACAAAGAAAACACACGAAAAGAGUUACAGAGAAGGUCACAAUGCUUUCAGUCGAUGUAUACACACUCACACCGCAUCUCUUUCAGACAGUGCCACGAGUGGGAAAGGAACCUUCCUAAGCUGAUGGGUUAUGACUGAUUGCCCCCUGCGAGACGGCCAUCCGCCCAAAGGAGAGCAGAGAGGAGGAACUCGCCGGCGGUGGAUGCGACAGGCAGUGCCAGCAGGGCGUCCCCUGCUUCAAAGGGCACUGUGCCUCUCUCACCCACCGCAGCCCCUCUCCUGCUUUGGUUCUUCUCAGGGUCUGCGGGGUGUUUUCCACUGCUGCUCCACAUCCGUAUGGCCAAUGGGUGGUGCAGAGCCCAGGUUGAGUCCCGCAGACAUGGAGUGAGAAGGAAAGAUACGGACCAAAAGACUGUAACAGUCUGUGCCAGACAGACCCUCUGGACAUAAUCCCGAGACGUCCAGCCUGUACCCCUGGAUGGCUGUGAGCAGAUGCUAUGAAGGCCAUUGGAAAGCCCCACCGAACCUGAGGUGGCUGACGGGGAACCAGGGGUCCAGGUGUGACAAAGGAGCAGAAGGCAGAUUGCCAAAUGGGGGAAGACCGCAUUGAUUACAUAUGGAACCCAUACAAAGGAACCUCCUGUUUAUCCUUUGAUGCCAUCUGUCCUUUGUCUUACACUCCAGACUCCUAAGGCUUCACAGUGAUGGGGUCUAUCAAGGAGUUUUUUAAGCUCUAUGUUCUAAGCUGGCUCAAAGUUUCAUCUUUGCCCAUAGCCUUUCCUGGUGGAUGAAGAAGUGAACAUGAGCCAGCAGACUGUCCAUGCAGCAUGGAAAGUAAAGGAUAUCCUGGGCUCCAUCAGAAGAGGGGUGGCAGCAGGCACAGGGCGGUGAUUGUCUCUGGGCACCACGGGGCUCUUCUGCCUUUCUGCACAGCCCUGGCUGUUUCCCUGGUUGGGACAGGACCACUUCAGCUUCCUCCUGUGCUGCUCCCCUCCCUCCAGCCUGCUGGACUGCUGUGAAAUCCUCUCUCCCAGCACUUCUUUUGCUUACUUUCAGGAUGUAAUUAAGCAAAAUGGUCUUGGAUGCCCAGACCAUGGGGAUGAGCCUUUGAUGGCAAACCUAAUGUCUCCCUCACGCCUCCACGUGUGACUUUCAACUCCCUGCCAGUAUCUGUUCCCGAAUCCACCCUGAGUUCUACCUUACACAACAUACCUGCCCCGGUGCUGUCUGUUUGUUCUCCCUGCCACUGACUGCAUCCCCAAGGAGGAUGCCCCAAGCUGGAGGAGCUGCUCACUGAGCUGACACAGCCCUCAAAAGCCACGGGGGGCCACGUAAAGCCCAGAUGUGUGUAUGGGCUGUGUUUGUGGUGCUGCAGAUGCAGACAUGGCACAGCAUUCCACCUGGGUCCCCA